CUGAAAUCUACAGAUAUAAUAAUCAUCUCCAUAAGCAGCACGCAUGGCAUCAACGGUUUUGAUUUUAGGGUGUCUACGGAGCAGAGGAACACUGAGACAAACAUAUGCUUUGAUUCUUUCAGGACGAAACAUACAAAGAUACCAACCAAUUAGAGCACCCCAAUCAUGAGCAACAAGAAAAACUUGAUCAACACCAAGUGAAUCAAUUAGAGCAACGAUGUCACCAACAAUAUGAAAACCUGUAUAGCUACUAACCGAAGCCGGAGCAUCAGUGUCUCCGUAGCCACGGAGAUCUGGUGCCACGGCACGGUAGCCUAGGGAGCUGAGAGCAACAAUCUGGUGGCGCCAUGAGUACCAGAGUUCAGGGAAGCCAUGAAGGAACAGAACAACUGGUGCUUGUUUGUUUCCUUUUUCUGCAAUAUGCAUUUUGAUGCCAUUUACCUCUACUGUUCUGUGCUCUAUUCCUUCCAUGCCACUUUGUCAAUUUCUCCGGCUAAUCAAAUUUGUUUUCGUUACAUAUAGAAAUUUGGUAAUAUCCAAAAAAUGCUGUCCAACAACUAGACAUUUGACCGACCUUUAAAAAAAAAUAAUAUUAAAUGUGUGUUAACAUUAAAUAGCUUUCAUUAUGUUAAAUUAUCAAGUCACUAGGUUUGGUGCGAGAAGUUUGGAUAAUAUAUGUAUUCAAAGUAGAGGUUUUGGGUUCGAUCUUCAGCUCAAUUUUAAACAAAAAAAAGAAGUUAAAUUUUCACGUAUUUUAACAUGUGUCCUUAGGGCAAGAACACAUAUUAACAUGACCCUUGAAAAAACAUGUGUUACUUUAAAAGAAAUAAGUUAAAUUGCACUUUUAGCCCCCUAAAUUUUACAAACUUACAAUUUUAGUCCCGUAAUUUUUAAAAUAACAUUUAUGGCAUGUUAUCUUUAGCCCCGUAGUGGCUAUUUUAAAAAUUAUUCGGCCAAAAUCACAAAUAUAUGAAACUCAGAAGCCAAAAAUGCAAUUUAGUCAAAAAAAAAUAUUAUCAUUAAAAGAGAUAUUGCGGAAAUAAAUCACUUUUUUUUUUAAAGAAACUAAUAUUAUUUUAGAAGAAAAAACAUAUGCUAAAAUCAAUACAACAAAUGUAAAAAUUGAGCCAAAAAAUUGAAUUAUAAAAGGGGAAUUACACCAAUAAUAUGCUAAUAUAUUAGGAUUUUUUUUUUUUGGCCUUAGACAUUACUUUAAUGUAGAUUAUUAAAUAUGAGUCAAAACUGUAAGGUCGGUUAUGUUAGGAGACAAAUCGAGUAGCUCAUGAUUUUGUGCAGACAACUCAUUUUUAUUUUUUUUUUGAAAACUUUGUAUCCGGCCUUAGGACCGACUAAUCCAAGGGGACCAAUGCAGACAACUCAUUUUAAUGCUAGUCCCCAAAUCUUUGAUUAUUGUUCACAUUAUAUUGAAACUAUUAUUACGAAUGAAAUGCUUGCUUCAAAAUAAAGAGUUUAUAAAUUCAAUGACUUAUACUUAGUUGAUUUUUGAAGGGAGGAGAAAUCUUACUUUUUUUGUUUUAAAUAAAUUAAAAAGAUAUAAAAUAUUUUUAAAAAAAAUGACGGAAUUGUAAUUGAAGUAUAAUUUGAUCAUUUAGUAUGUUUUUUCAAUUAUUUUAAAAUAUUAACUAUAUAUCAAAAUAUAUAUUUAGCCCCUAUAAAUAUUAUUGAACUUCGAAUUUCUCUCUUCUCUACAAGCGGUUCUAGUUACUUGGUAUCUUCGACAAAAACCAAAAUUAAAUGAACAAUAUAUUGUUCUAAAGUGCAACAAGUGCAGUGCAACUACCAAGAAUCAAGAAACAGACUUAGCAGCUGAUUAUUUAUUUUAUUGGCAGAUUAGCUCAAAAUUUCUUAAUGAAUUCAUAAAUGUGAUUACUAAUUUCCUCUGCCACUUCUUGAUUAUUGAAGUGAGCCACUCCUUUUUGCACAAUCACUUCCUCCAAAUUUGGCACAUCUUUCUUGAAUUCUCCACCAUGGAUAUACUCUUUCAAGUUUAGCGAGGUGUAUACCGAGUCUAAAUCACCAGUAAUGAAUUUCACAGGCACCUUGAUUUUCACUCCAUCCCAUGGUGCCAAGAGUUCCCAAUUUCUGCAAUACAAAUAAUAAUUUAUUUAUCAUUUGAAUUGGGAUCAGUGUCUAUGAACCACUAACAUAAAAAAAUAUGUUGCUACAUAGAUUAUUGUGGGUAUCAUGUAGGAGAGGGGUGUUCAAAAAUUCAGCUAACCGAACCAAACUGUAGUUCAAACGGAACGGCACUGAACCAUAUUUUAAACUGAACCAUUUAAUUCAAUUUUAAGCUGAACCGCUUUCAAAAAACAAUUACAAUUCACUGUAUAACUGGUUCAGAACCGGUUUGAAUUUUGAACUGAUUAUUGUGGGUAUCAUGCUGUUAAAAUAUUAUAAGUCACCAUAGAGAAUCAAAGGAUUACGUGUUUAAGUUUCUAUAGUAGUUCAAUCCACCAGUGAAGCCAGUUUUCUCAAAUUUGGAGACAAAAUAAGCAAGGUCAUCUUCUGUGAGCCAAGAAGGCAAAGUGUCUGGCAUAUUCGGGUUGAGUCCAGUUCCAUACUCUCCCUUGGGAAGUAUUGGUGCACCAGUUGUGCGAUUUGUGAGCAUAUUUUUAAUUGCAUAUUCAGUGCCAACUUCAGCCAUCUCAGCCUCCAUUUUGUCUUCCUGUGAUAAAAAACAAAUAUGACAUGCAUUCAGAUCAAUUUCUCAAUUCAUUUUACAUAAACAAAGAAUUCUGAAAUCAAAAGAUUGUAUUCUGGAAAAGUACUUAGUAGCAAAGAAAUGGAAAGAAGACCUGAAAUCUGCAGAUAUAAUAAUCAUUUCCAUGAGCAGCACGCAUGGCAUCAAGAGUUUUGAUUUUAGGGUCUCUAUGGAGCAAAGGAACACUGAGACAAACAUAGGCUUUGAUUCUUUCAGGACGAAGCAAACAUAGAUACCAACCAAUGAUAGCACCCCAAUCAUGAGCAACAAGUAAAACUUGAUCAACACCAAGCAAGUCUAUAAGAGCAACCAGGUCACCAACAAUAUGAAAACCUG
rnacentral:lncRNA from 1 species